rnacentral:rRNA from 1 species
AUGGCAGUGACGAAUUGCAAAUAUUCAAGCUCAACAGACCAAAUCACAGGUCUUCUCUCAGGAGUUGAUUUGUAUGCCGAUUAUCCCGCUGAACCGAGCCAUCUGAUACCCUUCAUUUUUAAUCUGCCGUUUGUUGUUUUUCAUUCCUAUUUUUUGUCUCGUCUGUUUGUUUCCUUUGAAGAGUGUAGUUGCGAUGAGGAUAACAAGCUCCCUCUUCUGAAAGCAUUGACGACAUUGCAGGCAGAAUCGAACCAAUUAAACAUUGCCACCACUGAGCAACUAUAUCUUUCUUUGAUCUUUUUGGCUGUCAUUCUUGCCUAUUGA